rnacentral:tRNA from 1 species
UCCUUUUUUGGAUUUGAUAGCUUCGUACGCUAUUUUAUAAAUUAAAGGUUUGAAUAAGGAU